UACGUAGGGUGCAAGCGUUAUCCGGAAUUAUUGGGCGUAAAGAGCUCGUAGGCGGUCUGUCGCGUCUGCUGUGAAAACUGGGGGCUCAACCCCCAGCCUGCAGUGGGUACGGGCAGACUAGAGUGCGGUAGGGGAGAUUGGAACUCCUGGUGUAGCGGUGGAAUGCGCAGAUAUCAGGAGGAACACCGGUGGCGAAGGCGGGUCUCUGGGCAACAACUGACGCUGAGGAGCGAAAGCGUGGGGAGCGAACAGG
rnacentral:rRNA from 1 species